rnacentral:lncRNA from 12 species
UUUAUUUUAUUGUGAUCUGUGCAUCCUGCAGCUGCAGGUAAAGUUACACCCAAAACAUCCCAGGUGUGCAGCUUGGGUUAACUAGUUUAGUCUUUCUGAGGGGAAAUUAUAAUCUUCCCCAGGACAGACUUCCCUGGUGAUCCCUCAGCCUUCUCUGGGGACAGAUGGGGCAGAGGGCAGGACUUGGGGGCAAUUUGCUGCUAGGUAAGGUUGGCACUGCCCUGAGCCAGCACCCUCAGCACACAUUUCCUCUCAUCUUCCAUGCCCUUCCUGUUCUUAUGGCUCUCACCCACUACUGCUCUGGGGUUUGCCCAGGUCUCCCUGGAAGAGGGAUUAAAUAAUCUCUGUAUUGCAUGACAGAUAAAUUAAAACCCACUACAAAGGCAUGGGAAGAAGGACACUUGGAGGACUGGAUUUGUCCCAAAACACAGGAUGUUCUGCUCUAGAGAUGUGUUCCCCAGCAUGUGGCAAAUGAUGGCUCAAACAGGAGUCAGGUUUUACCCAUUUUAUUUAACCAAUGAAAUUCCUACUGAUAACAAUGAAAGUAAUUUCAGCAAGUAUAAAUGCGAUACAGUUUUUAAACAAACCCCAUUGUUCCGUACCUAUAAAUAGAUUUUUCAAAACCUCAUAAAAAGUGCAGAUUUAUGAAUUGCUGUUAAAAUGUUAAUACGUGAUUCCUUUGUUUAAAAAUGCGUUUUUGUCUCUUAACUCACAAAAAAAGAAAGUUCCUUCUGCAUCUGUUCAGAUAAAUUCAAGUCGGGUAACUUAAAAACUAACAAAAGUCACACACAAAAUAUUCCAUCCCACCAGGUCAGUCUGUCCUUUCAGAAAAAAACAAAACAAACCCAACCAGCAACAAUAGGAAAGAAAUGAUAAAAGCUGCUGUGGGAACCCACAGUGAGCUCCUAGCAGCUGCCUCCCCUUGCAGGCAAACCCCCUGUGAAAAGCAUGGAGCCCAUGGCCUAUCUCCAGAGCUCAGGACAGGUGUGACCUGGGAGGCAGGACAGGAGAUGUGCCACCUGCCCACAGGAUGCUGUAGGGACUGUGGCACCCACAGAGCUACCACACUUCCUGGUGGCGGGAGGGAGCUGCAGUAUCAGAGCUUUGUCCCAAAACACCUGCAUGGCUGUGGCACAAGGAGGCGAGAAGCUGAGAGCUGCUGGGCUGGGCUGGGUACAAUUCACCCCCUGUCCAGAGGGUCAGAGGUGGGAGAUGCAAUGAAACCCCUCUCUGGCACGGUGCUGCCCUGCCUGCUGCCAGCCAAGGGGCUCAGACCCACGGCUGCCAACAGGGAGCCAAUGCUGCUUCUCACCCCCAUGUGCCAGGCUCUGCACUCAGAAAAUCAAGGGCUAAAUCCUGCACUCGAGGGAGGCUUGGAAGCUUUUUGGCUGCACAAGUGCCAUGACCGUGUUUGUGGUCCAGCAGCUGCUCUGUCCACCCCUCUCAUGCCAGCGAGCUCUGGCUUGCCCCGUGCAUUGGUGAGCAGAGUGUGGGUGGCCAGCAGCAGGCUGACGGGGGGCACAGGGGGCUCAAACAGACACCAGCCCCAGCCUUUGCUGCCUUUGGGUCCCUGUGUGGGCACAGGGUGGCCGUGUGGCUCAGACCAUGCUCUGUGCAGACAGGGGCUCAGCUCACCCACAGCCCAGAGAGGGCAGCUGGUGCUUCUCCCUGUAUCUACAGUGGUAUCUUAUCUACAGCAGGGUCUGUUUAGCAAGAGCAGUUUAAAGUGGCUAUGUUUAUCAAGUUUGCUACUUUAUGAUUAA